ACCUGGGCGUGUGUUCGAUCAGAAGAAGAGAAAGAAAGGGGUCAAACCCUAGAACACCAAAAUCUAUCAAAUAGAAAGGGGAAUUGAAGCCUAGUUGAAUGCAUGAACUAAGAAUGGCGAUCAUCUAAGCAUACCGAACAUCAAGAGUCAUUUAAAUAGAGGCACAAAUAUGGAAGCGCUACGGGUCGAAGGUAAACACGGCAGCUAUGUGUAAAUUCGGACGCACGAGGUAAGUAAACUCCUCGACUCCUUCCUUAGUAGUAAAAGAGGUUAUUUGUAUGAUAAAUGUUAGCAAUUAUGCAAGAUGCUUUAUUGACAUUGGUAACAAGUAAGGAGCGUUAAGGACGUGAUUUCUGAAUCACUUCCUACACCAUUUUAGGAAGGCUAUAUGCGAGUCACUUAAGUAUGGUAAUCUAAGUUUAUUUAGGAUUCGGUUACUGGAGGUGAUGGUAUUCGCUAAGAAGACCGAACGGGUUAAAAUAAGAGUAUAUUAGUGUAGUUUUUAUGCAUAUAAAGAUGUGAAAACAAUGCAGAAUUUUCAUGUUAAUUGUUGUUAAAAUAGUGCAGUUUUUAUGCACUUUGAGCUGCCAAAACAAUGCAGAAUUUUCAUGUUAAUUGUUGUUAAAAUAGUGCAGUUUUUAUGCACUUUGAGCUGCCAAAACAAUGCAGAAUUUUCAUGUUAAUUGUUGUUAAAAUAGUGCAGUUUUUAUGCACUUUGAGCUGCCAAAAUUGUGCAGAAUUUUCAUGUUAGUGCAGUUUUUAUGCACUUUGAGCUGCCAAAAUAGUGCAGAAUUUUCAUGUUAAUUGUUGUUAAAAGAGUGCAGUUUUUAUGCAUUUUGAGCUGCCAAAAUAGUGCAGAAUUUUCAUGUUAAUUGUUGUUAAAAUAGUGCAGUUUUUAUGCAUUUUGAGCUGCCAAAAUAGUGCAGAAUUGUCAUGUUUAUUGUUGUUAAAAUAGUGCAGUUUUUAUGCAUUUUGAGCUGCCAAAAUAGUGCAGAAUUGUGCUGUUUAUUGUUGUUAAAGUAGUGCAGUUUUUAUGCAUUUUGAGCUGCCAAAAUAGUGCAGAAUUGUGCUGUGUAUUGCUAUUAAAAUAGUGCAGUUUUUAUGCAUAUCGAGCUGUUAAAAUAGUGUAGAAUUGUGCAGUUUAUAAUGUAUGUACGUGGUCUAUUUGUAUGGAAGCUUGUAAUCAGCAUACCUUAGUAAACGUUGGGAUGAUUUAAGUGAUUUAUAAGGGUUGUACGUUUGUACGUGGGUAUGUAAUCACGCGUGGAAGUUCACGUCUAUGAAUAGAUACGUGUUUGUGCUUGCGUUUGAAGUAGGAUUCAUUGCUUAUGAGCGAACGGAACUUGGGUAUGUGUUCGUACAACUUAAAUAAGUGGAAGCGUUAAGUUACUAAACCGUUGACUUGAGUAUGAAAAGGUGAUUGCAGGUACUCUAUUAAUGUCUUUACCAAGGUUAAGGAAUUGAAGUGCACGAAUGUAAAUGGAAAGCACAUUCGUAAGGAUCAGUAUGGGAAGAAGGAACGCGGACUGGUUAUUGGUCAUGUGUGUUUAGUUUAGGAAUGAUGUCAUUAAAUCUAACCGAUGUACAUGUAUGUGGUGAAUGCAGGUUGCGUGGAUUUAGCAUCAUUAUGAAGGAUAGAAAGAUUGAAGAUCGAGUCAAGAGCAAAGGAUUGUACGGGAAGGAUCGGUCACAUAGUUUAACAAAUGUAGGUCCGAAGUAUUAAUGUAAUGGAACAUGGUAAAUCCUUUUUAAUGAGUGUAUGACAUUUGGUAUUCAAACUUUCCUGUAAGUACUUUGUCUAUUAAAGAACGAAAUUUUGGGUUCAUA